GAUGAACGCUGGCGGCGUGCCUAAUACAUGCAAGUCGAGCGAACAGACGAGGAGCUUGCUCCUCUGACGUUAGCGGCGGACGGGUGAGUAACACGUGGAUAACCUACCUAUAAGACUGGGAUAACUUCGGGAAACCGGAGCUAAUACCGGAUAAUAUAUUGAACCGCAUGGUUCAAUAGUGAAAGACGGUUUUGCUGUCACUUAUAGAUGGAUCCGCGCCGCAUUAGCUAGUUGGUAAGGUAACGGCUUACCAAGGCAACGAUGCGUAGCCGACCUGAGAGGGUGAUCGGCCACACUGGAACUGAGACACGGUCCAGACUCCUACGGGAGGCAGCAGUAGGGAAUCUUCCGCAAUGGGCGAAAGCCUGACGGAGCAACGCCGCGUGAGUGAUGAAGGUCUUCGGAUCGUAAACCUCUGUUAUUAGGGAAGAACAAAUGUGUAAGUAACUAUGCACGUCUUGACGGUACCUAAUAAGAAAGCCACGGCUAACUACGUG
rnacentral:rRNA from 1 species